rnacentral:rRNA from 1 species
GAUGAACGCUGGCGGCGUGCCUAAUACAUGCAAGUCGAGCGAACGGACGAGAAGCUUGCUUCUCUGAUGUUAGCGGCGGACGGGUGAGUAACACGUGGGUAACCUACCUAUAAGACUGGGAUAACUUCGGGAAACCGGAGCUAAUACCGGAUAAUAUUUUGAACCGCAUGGUUCAAAAGUGAAAGACGGUCUUGCUGUCACUUAUAGAUGGAUCCGCGCUGCAUUAGCUAGUUGGUAAGGUAACGGCUUACCAAGGCAACGAUGCAUAGCCGACCUGAGAGGGUGAUCGGCCACACUGGAACUGAGACACGGUCCAGACUCCUACGGGAGGCAGCAGUAGGGAAUCUUCCGCAAUGGGCGAAAGCCUGACGGAGCAACGCCGCGUGAGUGAUGAAGGUCUUCGGAUAGUAAAACUCUGUUAUUAGGGAAGAACAUAUGUGUAAGUAACUGUGCACAUCUUGACGGUACCUAAUCAGAAAGCCACGGCUAACUACGUG